CGCCUAACAAUUUCGUGUGACGCAUGGAGCUCAUCUUUCCGAUCCAGACUUUUUUAUUAAUGUAAGCUGGGUAGCUUUCUCGGAUUUCUGGACUAUCUGUCUAACGCAAAGCUUGGAUAUUUGGUGUAUAAGAUGAUGAUGAGAAUUUUAUUCUUGAGCUUGAGGUUAGAGUGAAACAUGGCUGCAUUGACCUUGGUUUUUAAGAUCAACCAGGACAGAUAUCAGUAGGAGAGACAUCACACAAGAGGGUCAUGAAUCUGAAGUUGGCACUAUAAUAUAGGAUGCGACAAAGUGUGACAGCGCCACCUUGAUCAUGAGUCCCAAGGCCACUAUUAAGUCACUCGAAGGACAGAUGUGUUCUGUUACUGUCAGUGCCGGUCCGGACUUUCCAGACGCCUAAAGCAGAUAAAAGUUUUGAUGCCUUUAAAUAUAACUAAAUUUUACUAUAUUUCAAACAUAUAGUUAAAAUAGUACCAAAUGUUACUACAAUUUAAG